GCCCGGGUGGCGGAAUGGGCAGACGCAAGGGACUUAAAAUCCCUAGGGGGAAACCCCGUGCGGGUUCGAAUCCCGCCCCGGGCA
rnacentral:tRNA from 1 species